UUGUUUUCUUUUAUUUAUUUAUUUAGACGGAGUCUCACUCUGUCGCCCAGGCUGGAGUUGCAGUGAGCCGAGAUUGCAUUAUUGUACUCCAGUCUGGGUAAGAAGAGCUAAACUCCAGAGUCUGUCUCAGAAAAAGGAAAACAGCUGAAAUAUAGGAGACUGACGCCCAGCCCAGGAACAGGUAAGCUGGGUGCACGCGCCGUGAAAACAGCACCUAGGCCUGCUCCGGUUCUCGCUUUGCAGAUGCCUCCUGAACCUCAGUGCCUCCUAAGGUCAAGGCUGUGAGUUAAAGGGCUCCACCCCAGCCCAGCCCCAGGUUGGCCCAGCCAUUCCCUGGUGGAGGGGCCAGGGAGGAAAGGGGGCUGUGUGGGCACCAGAGGGUGAACUGAGGUCUGAGGGUCGGGACACAGGCCGGGAACAGCAGCUGGGAGCGGAGCACGGGGGAAACGUGGAUGCGCUGAGCUCCCUACAACCGCAGUGAGCAUGUGCCCAGGAGGGCCUCACGGGGUGGGUGUGAGUCUGGCCUGCCUGGGCUCGGGGUGGGGGGUGUUUACAGACGCAUUUCAGCCCCGCAGCAGGGGCUGGGGAGGUCCCGCUCGUGACAGUCUCUGCACCAAGGCAGGAGAGAUGGAAGCCGCCCAGAGAACUGCCACUCCAUAGCCUGUGGGCAUCCAGGGGUGAGCGGCAGCGAUGGCGCCCCAUGGAGGAAACACACUGGAAAUCGUGCAGAAGAUGGGAAGAUGCAGGCUGGAGUGCGGAGAAGGACUGAGACCCUGCCUGGUAGACGGCACCGUCACAGCAGCCGUCUGCCUGCUAGGAGGAGCGUCUCCACCAGCAGCAGGCCGGCCCCUGAGGGAGACAGCAGAGAGCUGGAGUCCUGGCCAGCCAGGCGGGGAUCCUUCAGCAGGACACAGGGGACACAGCAGGCAACAGGAGCUCAGAACGCUCUCGGCGACCCUGCUGAGUAACUUGUGGACUUUGUCGUCUGGCCAGUCAUGCAGGAUCCGGCACAGGACGUACAGCUCAGCGCUGGGGAGGGGGUCCCUGAAAAAGUCACCUGGUUUAAAGACAAAACGAGAUACGUCCGUCAGAGACAGAAGAGGAGACAGACACAGAGGAGAAGGCCACGUGGAGACGGAGGCAGAGACUGGAGUGAUGCGGCCACAAGCCCAGGGACGCCUGGAGCCCCCAGGAGCUGGAAGAGGCGGGAAGGAUCCUCCCCUAGAGCCUCUCAGAAAGAAUCAAACACAACUGCAAUGGGUUGGGUGGUGACGUCCAAAAGAUCUGUCCAAGUCCUAAGCCCCAGAACCUGGGAAUGGGACCUCAUUUGGAUAAAGUUUCUUUGCAGAUGUAAUUAAGGAUCUGGAGAUGGGAUCAUCCUGGAGUAGGGUGGGCCCUAAAUGCAAUGGCAGGUGUCCUUCUAAGAGACAGAAGAGGAGACACACAGAGGAGAAGGCCACGUGGAGAUGGAGGCAGAGACUGGAGUGAUGCGGCUACAAGCCCAGGGACACCCGGAGCCCCCAGGAGCUGGGAGAGGCAGGAAGGAUCCUCCCCUAGAGCCUCCAGAGGGAGCACAGCCCUGAGAUGCCUUGAUCUCAGACCUCCGGUCUGCAGGACAGGGAGAGGAUAAAUAGCAAGCUAUCUGGCAAAUCAGAAGCACAGCUAUCAUGAUGUCCUGCAGGAGGAGCUGUAGGGUGGUUGCGUUUUGUUUUUUUAAAAACGAGAAAAGCAUCCAGGAACCUCUGGGGGAGGGUUGUGGAGGUCCCCAGCACCUGUGCCCACAGGCCUGGCCGCUGUCGGAUGGUGCUGAGUUACAGCACGUCAGCUGUCUCUUUUUUUAUUUUUUUAUUUUUUUUGAGAUGGAGUUUUGCUGUGUUGCCCAGGCUGGAGUGCAGUGGCGCGAUCUCGGCUCACGGCAAGCUCCGCCUCCCGGGUUCAAGCGAUUCUCCUGCCUCAGCCUCCUGAAUAGGUGGGAUUAUAGGCACCCGCCACCAUGCCUGGCUAAUUUCUGUAAUUUUAGUAGAGAUGGGGUUUCACCAUGUUGCUCUGGCUGGUCUCAAACUCCUGACCUCAGGUGAUCCACCCGCCUCAGCCUCCCAGAGGGCUGGGAUUCCAGGCGUCUCCUGUCAAUCCGUCCUGGCCUCAGCAGCUGCCACCUGGAAGUUCUCCUUCAAGUCUAACCUAAGGCCACACUGUGACGGCUCUCGGGUCAGUUCCUUCCGUGACCUCGGCACCGUGGAUGCCCAUGAAUGCUGAUCUCGGCUGUUCCCCAUCUCCACUCCCCUCACGUCUCGGCUACUUGCACUGAUGAUAACUUCA